GCUUUCCAGAGAGCGAGGCUGGGAGCAGAGGCUGGAGGCGAGCCAGGCUUUCUGGGAAGCAGGAGCCAGGAGGUUCCCAGAAGCCAGCCUGCCGUGGGAGGACAGCAGGGUGGGGAGGCAGGCGGCUCAGCUCUGCUUCUGCCUGGGCUUUUCGCUUCUUUGGAAAUUCCUGGCACGACAGGAGUGCUUGGGGAAUGAAUGGGUCUCCGCUCAUUGGGUCCCUGGGCCUCUCCUGUCCGCCUCCACAUGCUCCUACAUGGGAGACGUCCAUGAGAUGCCCCUUGUGCUGGGGGACCCUCCAAGGGCGAUACAGGUCUCCAGGCUGCCAUCAGGCAACCCAACCUCACGAGCUGUGUACACUUAUUAACCCCUUUCCCAGCCGAGAAACCCGGUAACAGGCCAGUGGACGGUGGCAGGAACAUGCGGGUCUCCUCGUGGUCACAACCUGGGCUCUGUCCUUUGGAAAAGCAAGGCACAAACACACGCACACGCAGGCACUGGCGUGCCCCACGUGCGUAUGCUGCCUCUCCCCCACCCCGUAAUCAGUCAUGCGUUUCCACUCGCCCCACACGAGUCCCUCCACACACAGGCGUGCUCCACUGCCACUAGGCUUGUCACGCCCACUGUUGGCACACAGGAGGAUACACGUGGCCACAGAGUCACUCCAGUGCGCGCCGUCCCCUGGAGGCAUGGAGAGGCGCCCGCGUGCAGGUGCAGGACUGCUCACGGUACCCCGGAGCCUCAGAUGUACCCCCACACCCCGCACGUCUGCCUGAACACGGUGGCCACCCUGGGUCCCCAGACCCGGGAGCCUGCUCCCUCAGGGCCUGCCCCACGCCUGCUUCUGGCAGGGCCGGCGGGAAGGGAAGGGGGACACGUGUGCUUUGUGCAAGGAUCUCCUGGCCCCAUGUGGCUGUGUAGAAAACUCCCUGAAAUCCUGAGGAAAUACAGUCCUCUGCUGCAGGGUGGGGGCCGGCGGGGGAUGCGGCCAGCUUGGCCUUUCUGCACUGGGCGCUGCCUGUCUCCCCGGCCGCUCGCCUCGCUCUGCCACCCACAGCUGUCACCUACCUGUCUGGCCACCCAGCGCCUCAGGCCAGGUGGACGACCUCACCCUUCUACUUCAGCCCUGAACAACCAGAGGGCCAAAGGGCACCCCAGGGCACCUUCCUGGGCAGCACACCCUAGAACUCUGGCCCCAGGGGGGAAGGUGAUCCGGGUGGAGUUCGCCUUCAGGUAGCGCCUGGCCAUCUAUGCAGCUUAUCCGGGGGUGGGGUGGGGCUGUUUCCCCACCUAGAAAACCACGUGGAUUCGACUCAAGGCCAGCCCCCUGCUCCCCAGGGGCAGUCAACACCGCCUGUCUUCACAGCUGGUGGGCCACCCCAGCAUCUGCCUUCCUCGAGGGGGAAAAGACAUUUUCUGCCACCUGCGGGGAGGUUUGCGCUGCAGACAGUAGCGGGGGCUUCCGGAGCAUUUCACACACCUGGGCAUCCCUGAGUCCACAGGGGAGUUGAGGGAACCACCGGUCUGGGAUCCUGAGAGUCCAAGCCUGCGCUCUCUCUCCCCCUAGACCUCCUGCAUGCUGAGAGCUACGGACAGAGAGCUUCAAGGCCGGGCUCCGCCCUCCCCGGCCCAGCCGGGUGCAGUGGGCAGCAGCUCAGGUAGCAGCGGUUCCCAGGGCUUAAACAUCCUGGUCCCGCCCUCCCCGCUUUGACGGCGGUUACAGGCAGAGGACCGCAGGGGACAAAGGAAGGCCUGCACGCCACAGGAUCCCCAACGUGGUGGGCUCGGCGGGACCACCAGCAUGAGCGAGGGCAGGGGCUGCACCCUGCCUGGAGCCGAGGACAGGAGCGUGCCGCCUGCUGUCGCCCUGCGCCC